UUUUUUUUUUUUGCCAUAUGGAGGUUCCCAGGCUAGAGGUCUAAUUGGAGCUGUAGUUGCCAGCCUAUACCACAGCCACAGCAACGUGGGAUCCGAGCCAUGUCUGCAACCUACACCACAGCUCACAGCAAUGCCAGAUCCUUAACCCAUUAAGCAAGGCCAGGGAUCGAACCCACAACCCCAUGGUUUCUAGUCGGAUUCAUUAACCACUGUGCCAUGAUGGGAACUCCCAAAAUCACAUAUUUAAAUUUCCAGUUGUUUACUGCUGGUAUAUAGAAAGCAAUUUACUAUUGUAUUAACCUUACUUCUGUAUCCUGCAGCCUCACUGCCUCAUUUACUAGUUACAGGAGUGUUUGUGGGCAUCAAUUUGGGGGAAUUUUUACACAGAAAAUCAUGUCAUCUCUGACUAAAAAGAGGUUUUGUUUCUUUCUUCCCAAUCUUUAUUUUUGUUCUUAUCUACUAGACUAGUUAGGACUUCAAGUAGAAUAUCAUGUUAUUUAUCAGUGAUGCAUGGCAGUAUGCUUGCAUUACUUCUAAUCUUAAGUAGACGUUGUCUCAUAUGGUAACCAUUGGCCACAAAUUGAACAUUUGACAUGAGGCUAAACUGAGAUAUGAUCUGAGUAUAAAAUAUAUAUAAAAUUUCUAAUACUUCAUAUGAAAAAAUAAAAUUUAAUAACCUUUUGUACUGAUCACAUGUUUAUAUGGUCUAUUAUUUAAAAAUUUUCCUUGUUUCAUUUUUAGUGCAAGCUAUUGAAAAGUUAACAUUAUAUAUGUAUAAUAUUCAUAUGUAUAUACAUAUAUUUGGGGGGACAGUGGAAACAUAAAUUCUGAAAAUCAGAAAAUUCACAAGCAACAUAUACUGAUCAGAGGCCAAUUAAAGUAGAAGUCAACAGGAAAAAACUUGAUCCCCAAAUUUUUCAACCCUUUGAAAAUUAUGAAAUAUUCUUAAAAUCUUAAAUUUAUGAUGUAAUUCCUACAUCAAUGAAAAAACUGCAGUUGAAAUAAUAAUUUUCUGAAAAGUAAAAAAUACAUCUGAAACUUCCAAAUUAUAAUAAAGCUGUACUCAAAGGUAACAUCACAGCAUUAAAUUCUCUUUUAUUUAAAAUAGGAAACUGGGAGUUCCCAUUAUGGCUCAGCAGUAAGGAACCUGAAUAGUAUCCAUGAGGAUGUGAGUUCAAUCCCUGGCUUUGCUCAGUGGGUUAAAAGAUCUGGGGUUUCUGUGAGCUGUGGUCUAGGUUGCAGACAUGGCUCAGCUUCCACAUUGCCAUGGAUGUGGUAUAUGCCUGCAGCUGCGGCUCCAGCUCUGAAUCUCCAACCCUUAGCCUGGGAACUUAUGCCACUGGUACAGACCUAAAAAGCAACAACAACAAAAAAACACCUGAAAAUAUAUAGAUUUCAUUCAAUUUAAAAAAUUGGAAAAAAAGAUCAGCCAAAUAUAUCCACUCAUUAAAAAAAGAAAGAGGAUAAUAACUUAAACUUACAAAUCACAAAAUCACAUUAUCAGUUUAGUGGGCAGUGAUUCUACUCUAUGGCCUGGAAUGCUGAUGUAAUACCUAAGACAUAGAGACCCUGAGGACAAAAAGCCACAUCCCAAGGUUGGUGUAACCAUGAACUGGAAGGUCCUCUGUGACAAAUUCCUUAUGGAGUCAUGCCUAACUGGGCUUCAUUCUCAUGAAUAACAAUUAAAUUCUAUCCUAUAUAUGCCAUACUUUAGACUUUUUUGCCACAGAAUCAUCUCACUUUCACAAUCGUGUGUAUGUGUAUGUGUAGAUAGGCAGUUAAACUAAUUUCAGCAUGAUCCCAUAUUGGUGGGGUGAAUUUUCCUUUUGAGUAUGUGUAUUUUGUAUGAUACUGAAUAUUUAUUAAAAAUUACAAGUUCAGUGUUAAUACUAAGUUAUAAAAAUUUUGCAAGUAGUUUUAAAAAACUGGCCUGUCCAAUUUAUUUCAAACCUGAAAACUGUCUCUUAGCUAUGAUUUCAGUGUCCUUCUUAAAGAACUGAGAAUAGUGUCAAUAAGAGGGUGGAAUAAAAAGAUAAAACUGUGAAGUUAUUUUCAAUAUUUAUUAUACUUAAUUAAAAUUCUCAUGUAUUUACUAAUGAACUCAUUCCUUUUAAAAUAUUCUGAAUAAUCUGAAAUCCUAUAGUGCUGUUUUAACUCUGCACUUUCUUAAAGUGGUCUGACAGAAGAGGUCACUAUUGAAACUAUAUACAGAAACUCAGUGUUAAAAUAAAGGGUAUGUUAUAUUAUUUUCUUAAGAAGUAAAACCACUAAAAAGCAAUAUCAUCUUAAUAAAAUAUGUAGAAUUCAAGGGUUUAGCUACCUUGAACAAUUAAUAGAUGUUUAUAAAAUUUCAUGUUUGGAGAAAGUUUGCUUUUUCUGCAUAGUAAAAUGUAUGGCCAAAUAUAUUCAGCACUAUAAUAAAGCGGCUUUAAAAAUUCUUGCACAAAACUGACAUUCAACCAUGUUCUAACAGUUCAGAUACUGGCAAGGUCUACAAAGAUGCCACUGAAAAAUAUAUAUAGAGCAUAAUUUUCAUUCCUUUGCUGUCAGGGUAACAUGUGUGCUUCAUAUGCUUUAGUGAAGUCUAGCAGUACAAAUGUGUCAAAAAAUCAUAAAAAUUUGUCUUCUAUGACUAACAUAUAGGAUUUAGGACCCUAGUAUUUGGGAUAUUUAUCUCUAAGGGGAAAAAAAGAAUUUAUUCUUGGACAAAUACAUAUACCUUAUGUUUAACACAUUUUCCUGCAGAAUUUAAUGAAACAAUUUACUGAAGUAGCCUUAUUCCUUGUGUAAUUCCCCACCCUGUACCCAACAUAAUAGCCUGAAAUUUAGCAUAGGACUCCAUGCAGGGAUUUCAGAACUGGUAUUAGAAGGGGAAAAAAGUAUGUUAAUUAAACUUAUGACUAUCAAAAGGAAAUUACCUUCUACUAAAUUUGCCUUAUAACUCUACUCAGGUGUUUGCCAUGGGAGAUAGAUAAAAUGAAUUAUUGUAUUAGUCUGGAUCAUUUUAUUGCAGGUAACAGACACUAAACCCAAUUAGGUUGAAGUAAAAAUUUAAUAACUCAUAAAAAUGGGAAGUUGAAGAUGGAGGUUGGUAUCAGAUAGAGCUGACAGGACUAGAGUUCAGUUGGUUUCUCCUUGUCACCACUCUGCUUAUUUUUUCUUGCCUCUACUCGACAUCCUAUUUCAGGCUUGUAUUCUUAUAUGGUAGGAAAUAACUAUGGCCAUAACAUGUUGCCAACUUUAGAAGUUCAGUAGAAGGAAUCUAUAUUAAUAAAAGAUAGGAGAUCAUUUGUUUUCUGAUAUAUGAAGGCAUCUGCCAUCAUGAUUUGUGGUGGUUUAGAGUGUGAUGUCUCUGCAAUUAGGCCUUCGUCUAAAACUGGAAGAAAAAAACUAAAGCCCUGAGGUCAAAAUUUAAAGGACAGUUUUCUCAAGAAAGAUUUUUUUUUUCAGUCUUAUGAUCGUCUCCCUUGGUCUCCAGACUUCUGCGUGAAGUUCAGACUUCCUACCAAAUUCUCCUAUCUUGCUAGUUGUGUUAUUAAAUCUAUGGUUAGUAAUAAACUACAAUGUACAAAUCAAACAUUAUAGUUACCUAUUUCUACUUCUUAUGAAAAAUAUUGACCUAGAUAAUCCUCAUAUGGUAGUAUCAUACAGUUCAUUAGAGACUCUUUUACUUUCCUUUUUUUCCUACUCUUUGAAUAUUUCUUGAAAAUAUUCUUAUAUUUCUUAUUCACUGUUUUUUUUAGUUUUUCUCUUUCAUAUUUUGUCAAAACAACUCUAGGUUGUUCUUCCUUUUCGAAAUAGAUAUUUUUUUUCAAACCUACUGUAAAGCAUACUUCUUUGUUUUUUAAUAUGCAAUUAAAGAUAUGUUAUGUGGAGCAAAAAAAAGUCACCUAUAGUUAACAUUAAACCUCAUAUAAGAUUUAACAAAUAUUUUAUUUCAUAUAUUUUUUAAAAUAUAAAUUCAUAUAUUUAAAAAGAUAACUAAAAUAUUAAAUAGGAUGUUUCUAGUUCUUUCUGUUUUUGUAUUUGCAAAAGUUAAUUUUGUAUUACUGAAUCAGUUCCUCUGUUGAGCUAAAUAUGUGGAUGUUCAACACUGCCAUGGUAGCAAUUUUUUGAAAUUCUUUAAUCAAUACACAGGAUAGGUAUGGAAUGUAGGAGAGAAUAGAUAUGAUAAGAGAGAUAAUUAGAAUAAAUUAAAUACUAAUUUUCUAUUUAACCAUUCCAUUAGUCUAGUGUUUCCAAAGGUGAAUUACCUUGAUAUUCUUUCAGGUGAUAGGUCUAUGAGGUCAAAACUCUUUUUUAUAAUAAUACUACGAUGUCAUUUUCUUUCACCACUUUCCUUCUCUCAUGAGUCUAUAGAGCAGUAUUCCAGAGACUACAUGAUAAACGACAUCAUUGUGCUGAUGAGAUAGAAUCUAUGCUUGUGUUCUUGUGUUUUCUAAAAUGUUCUGAUGUGGUGGUAUAUUUAUGGUAUAAAUAUGUGCAUUUUUAGAGAUUAACUCAGUUUGUUCCUGGAACUUAUAUUUUGAUCUUGCUAGUUGUCUUUGUUUAUAUCCCCUCUAAUCUCUGUAUCCUCCUAUC
rnacentral:lncRNA from 1 species